AGAAUUGAUCUUGGUCAGAACGAACGCUGGCGGCAGGCUUAACACAUGCAAGUCGAACGCACCGCAAGGUGAGUGGCAGACGGGUGAGUAACGCGUGGGAACCUUCCCUUUGGUACGGAAUAACUCGGGAAACCGAAGCUAAUACCGUAUAAGUCCUUCGGGAGAAAGAUUUAUCGCCAAAGGAUGGGCCCGCGUUGGAUUAGCUAGUUGGUAGGGUAAAGGCCUACCAAGGCGACGAUCCAUAGCUGGUCUGAGAGGAUGAUCAGCCACACUGGGACUGAGACACGGCCCAGACUCCUACGGGAGGCAGCAGUGGGGAAUAUUGGACAAUGGGGGCAACCCUGAUCCAGCCAUGCCGCGUGAGUGAAGAAGGCCUUAGGGUUGUAAAGCUCUUUUGGCGGGGACGAUAAUGACGGUACCCGCAGAAUAAGCCCCGGCUAACUUCGUGCCAGCCGCAGC
rnacentral:rRNA from 1 species